CGAACGUUUGUAGGAGGAGAUUUAUCUGGAUAAUUCGUCGAUUCAGUCAAUAGGUCGAUUUUCUAACGAGAAGACAAAUACUAAUUAAUCGAUAUACGAAUUAGCAUAAAAUCGAUUUUUGCAAAUA